rnacentral:lncRNA from 1 species
CCACGCGGCACAACCAGAGCUUCCCCAGGGGCUGGCUCCCUAGCUCCUGUCCAGGGAUGAACUUGGGCUCGGGGAGGCAGACUUGAGAACCUUGGGGCACCUUGGCCAAGGUGAGGUGGGGGUGUAGCCCCCCUAGGGGCUGAACUACUCUGAGCCCCUCCGCCUCUAGCCUCUGUCUCAGCACUUGGGCCAUAUUUUCCAGGGAGGGGCAGGGAGGGGCACAGAGUACAUGGUGCCUCAGGAGAAGCAGGCGCCUAAACCUCACCUGCGGGGGUGCCUGAAGCCCUGGAGCCGAGAGCGCACGUCUCAGUGCACCGAGGGCCGCGGCUACCUCCCCAGGGCCUGCUAGCCUCAGGAGGGCCAGUGUCAGGUGCAGCGCCCCGCGGGUACCAUGAACGCGGCGCACGAGGGCGUGGCUCGGACCAGCUCCUCUUGGGCCCUGGCUACUCUCGCCUGCAGCCCAGGGUCAGUCACCAUGAGAGCCACAAAAUGCGUGGGGCGGGGCUGGCGAGGCCCCGCGGCCCUGGCCCCAGCGGCCUCUCCGCAGUCCGAGGGCCAGGCCCCAGGACCCCACUCUGCUUUGGUUUCCAGGAAAUCUCCCGCGGGCCUUCCCGGGGCAGCCUGGGCCUGCUCCUUCCCGCCCUGUGGCUCCGUGGUCCUGGCUGCGGUGGCUGGCCUCCGCCCCACUUCUAGUUCUGUCCAGUGGGGUGCUCUGUGCUCUUCCACUCGGAUGUUGGCAGGGGCGGCACCUACGCCGCCGAGCGCAUCCUUUUCGCUGUGUGCGUCCUGGGCCCCGUGGGUGUCUUCACCGACGUGGGCAUCCUCGCUGUCACGCGCGUCCUCGCCAUCAUACGCGUCCUGGGGCCCGUGGGCAUCCUCGCUGUCACUCGCAUCUCGGGCCCCGUGGGCAUCUUCGCAGACAUGGGCAUCCUCACCUUCGUGCGCGUCCUGGAGCCCAUGGGCGUUGUUGUCUUCGGCGACAUGGGCAUCCUUGCUGUCACGCGUAUCCCCAGCCUCAGGGGCAUCUUCGCGGGCACGGGCGUCUUCGCGGGCACGCGCGUCCUCGCCAUCAUGCACGUCCUGGGGCCCGUGGGCGUCUUCGCCGACAUGGGCAUCCUCACCGUCGUGCGCGCCCCCGCUGUCGAGCGCGUCCAGGAUGGUGGGCCCGCGACCGGCCGCCAAGCCCGAGCCGAAGACGUGGUCUGUACGCGAGGCGCGGUCCCACACGAGGCGGCCCCGGAAGCGGAAGUAGCGCACCCGGUGCUGCGGCACAGCCAGCACGCCGGGUCCCAGCGCCGCCAGCGGCUCGUCCCAGCAGAAGGCGCAGAAGGGCUCCUCGCGCACGCCCAGGAAGCGGUCGACGUAGCCCACAGAGAAGUCGGCCGGGUCGAGGCGCGGGUCCCAGCGGAUGCGUUGGAUGACGGCCGCCGCCGUGCGCAGCGGCGGUUUUUUGGCCCCGGCCUCGGCCUCGCGGCUAGGCUGUGCCGAGGCCGGCGCCCCGGGGUGGGGCUGGCGGCAGCGGGCGCCGAAGCGGCAGCGGCCCUCCAGGAAGAAGCGGCAGGCCGACGGCGGCGACUCGGGCUCGGCCGCCAUGGGAGCGGAGUGCGCCGAGGGCGUCUGCGGGCCGCCGCAGGCCCGGCCGUGACGUCACCCGCCCCCGCCGCCCCGGGAACGGCGCAAGCUCGCUCGCGGAGCCUCCGAUCCCGGGCCUGGCGGACCGUUCUCCACGGAGGUGCCCUCAGGCAGUCUGGCCCCCGCCUCCUCCGCGGACCAGCGAUUCACGUGUGUGGCCCGCUCCCCGCUCCAAAGGGUUUCACGCUCAGCACCGCCUCCUGGGUGCCGGCCUCCGUCAGUGCCCUCAAGGAACCGGAUCCUCCUCCCUCUGCGGCCUCAGCCCAAAAGACUUACCGGGGCCACAUCUCACCAGGGCAAUCAUCCGACCUCGACUUCGGUCCAGUCUUUGCGGGGAAUAGAGGUCGAGGUGACACACUUGGCCCUUAA